rnacentral:rRNA from 1 species
UACAGAGGUCUCAAGCGUUGUUCGGAUUCAUUGGGCGUAAAGGGUGCGUAGGCGGCGCGGUAAGUCGGGUGUGAAAUCUCGGGGCUUAACUCCGAAACUGCAUUCGAUACUGCCGUGCUUGAGGACUGGAGGGGAGACUGGAAUUUACGGUGUAGCGGUGAAAUGCGUAGAUAUCGUAAGGAAGACCAGUGGCGAAGGCGGGUCUCUGGACAGUUCCUGACGCUGAGGCACGAAGGUCAGGGGAGCAAACGGG